AUAGAUCGGUUGAUCGAUCACGAACUGGCACCUCGCCUGUAUUGUUCGCAUACGACACCCAUCGACCAGAUCGUGAGACGAACCGCAAGGCUGCCGCGACGAAUCCCUCGCUCCCUGCGAGGCUGCGGCCCUGCAUCCCUUCUGCAGUACAGCUUUCUGUUGUGAUUUCUAAACCUGAAGAAGUAGGCAGUGGGCAACAACCAACAACAACAGCUCGCAUUGAAUCAGGUUCAAAGCCACGAGCACAAGUUGAAUUGAAGGUAUAAUUGCUAAUUAGAUGUACUAAUGCAUCGAUUUCUGGAAUUGGGAUAUGCCUUCUCAUGCCGAUUCUUAGUGGCACUGACAUCUGAAUUCAUCCCAUCAAAAAAUAAUAUCUGAAUUCAUCUAUGACUGCAGGUACAGAUACGGUUCCUUCUUGCUGUCCAGCAGGCUGUUGCAUGAGCAGAGUUUGAGCUCCUGAUUAAGUUAUUUUCACCACUUGUCUUUCUUAUUUAAUUAUAGUGAAAUUAGAGACUAGUUUGCAGUCAAUUAUGUAUUGUGUAGACAUAAGAAUUUGCACUUUUCUGUACAAGUUUGUAAUGAG
rnacentral:lncRNA from 1 species